GUGGGGAGAAGACUCCACAGGCAGUUUGUGGGGACAGAAGCGAGUGCCUCUUGCUAGGGAUGGGCUGUGUGAGGCAGGCUCUAGAGCCCCUGCGGGUCCCGUCUGGCCCCGGCAGCAGCUGCCCUCUGUUUAGCUCUGAGCUCCUGGUGUGACCACACUGGGUCCUGACACUGCCCUCUGAGGAGGGACUGCAGCACCCCAAAUGCAGACGGAGAAGUUAGAGGAAGCCCACUCUGGCCACUGAGUGGAGAGGACAAUGGGAGCUAGCAUGGAUGUGGGGAGACUGCUGACUGUUGCAGAAGCCUGAAAAGAGGUGAUGCCUAUGGUUGGUGUUUACAGACUCAUCCUCCAACUCCAGGGGUUUUGCCUGGUCUCCUCCCUAUGCAGGAGGAGAAGGGCUCAGCCCAGCUGCAGGCAUGCCAAAGAGAAGGCUCACCCAGCACCAUUCUCUGCCCACCCCUGCUGCUGGUUGCAAGUGACAGAAACCCGACUGGACUUAGGCUCCAAGAGGCAUCUAUUGGCUCAAAUGAGCAGCAGCUCAGACCUACAGGAUCUUGGGCACAGCAGGGUUCUGCUGGCUGCUGGCUUGGUUCAUGCCCACAAAGCCCUUCUGUUCCUAGUGGCCUUGGCAGCUCCAAGCUUUUCUUUCCUCAUAGGUCCAGGAAAGUUCCCAGAAUGAAGCCUCAGUGAACCAGAUUGGAUUGUGUGGCCCCCUUGAACCCGUCACUGUGGCCCUAUAGUUGGCUGGGAUCAGGGACCUCUCCAGAGUGAGUAGGUGGAAUUGGGGAAGUGGUUUCCCCAAAGAAAAUCCAGGUGCAGUUUUCAAACAAGUAGGCCUGGAUGCAGGACAGGUCAAACCCACCAGGAGCCACUGCAGCCCCAAUGUGCACCUCAACAGCCAGCACAGCCCACCCGCUGUCCACUUUCCCCCACAUCUAGCUGGGACCAAAUGCUCAGCAUGCACAAGGCAGGAAUCCACAUGCUUACCCGCUGAGCUCCUUUAUGACGUGGGAAGGCUGCUGUCCCCCAUCUACACAUAUGGACGUAGCAGCAAGUCAGGGGCUGACCUGACCAAGGCCACAGCCAGGUGGUGGCAGGGCCCAGUUUCCAGAGCAAGUGGUGCGGCUCCCCUGUGGGCACUGCAACCCAUGCUCUGCCAUGUGGCACAGUGGGUAGUGUGGAGAUGCCUGCACUCAGGACCCUGUGGGGCCAACAGGCCACCCUACAGCCAUGUCUCCCUGGUACCCAGUGUUCUUUGCACACUGUACUCUUGCUCCAAAGACACCUCCACACCAGGCCUUUCCUCAUGCUGUGCUCCUGGCCAAGAGGGUCCCCACCUGGCCCUUUCCUCUUUCUUUAUUUUUAUUUUUAUUUUAUUUUAAUUUUGUAGAGGUGGGGUCUCCCUAUCUUGGCCAGGCUAGUCUCAAACUCUUGGACUCAAGUGAUCCUCCUGCCUCAGCCUCCCAAAGUGCUGGGAUUAAGGCAUAAGCCAUUGUGCCCGGCCACCAUUCAUUUUUCAAGGCCCAAGCUCCUUCUCCCCUCCUCCAGGAAGCCUCUCUGCAGCCCCCACCCCACCCCAGGAGCCCUCCUUGGCUUCCUUUCCCUUUGACCACUCUGGGCUCAGGUCUGUCACCACCCCACUCCCGAUCUGGAGACAAAACCAGGUCAAUGUCAAUACUUUAUUGCCCAAAAGACAGAGUAGCAGAGUCCCUCCCCCUGCCCGCCACCUGCCCACACACAUGCAAGCAAUCCCUGGAGUACUGGGGGGAGUUGGCACCGCCUCCUUCUGGGGCUGCAAACUCAGAUGACUUCAGGGGCCAAGUAGUUGAUGGAGGUAAAUAGUGAGAUGGGCUGAGUGCCGGAACAGGCGAGGGCUGCAGCAGCAGUGAGCGGUGGAAUGCAUGCACAUGUUAUUGGGAGAGUGUGGAGUGAACAAGACCUUUCAAAAGUGUGAAGAUCCCAGCCAGCAGGCCUCCAGUUUGCAGUCCCUGGCUCAGUCCAGCUCCUACCACUCCCAGAAUGCUGCUUGUCACCCUGGGGGUCACAGUCAGGUCACCAAAGAUGUUCCCAAGUAUAGGAGCUCUCUCCAGGGCCAUAGCCUCUGGAAAAGCCACCCCUGGCACCCUCUUUUUAAGGCCUAGCAGCCCUUGCCCCCCACUGCCCUGCCAAGAAGGAGGGCAGCAAGAGAUCAGCCUCCUGCUUCCCUGGAGAUGAGGUAAGCAGCCCAAGUUUUCUUAUUGUGCUAAAAACACCUGGGCUAAAGUGGGGAAGCUGGGUUUCCCUCCCCCAUUCCUGAUGUAAUGGGGCAGCACCCCUCUCUGUCUACCAUAUGGUGUCAGGAGAGGCCAGCUGUGAAACAGAAGAUUGAAAUGUAAUCCAGGGUCUCAACAUACAAUACCCCAAACUUUCAAGAUCCAAUAAGAAAAUCACCUGUCACAGCAAGAACCAGAGAAAUGUCAUCUGUACCAGAAAAUACAAUCAGCAUAUACCAAUACUGGUAUAUGUUGAACAGGAAGGAAUAUCAGGAUUACCUGAUGAGGCUUUUAAAGCAGCCAUCAUAAAGGUGCUUUGAUGAGCAAUUAUGAACAUGCUUGAAACAAAUGAAAAUAAAGAAUGUCUCAGCAAGGAAACAGAAGUUGUAAAGAGAACCAAAUGGACAUUUUAGAAUUUUAAAAAAACAUACAAUAACCAGAAUAAAAACUUAAUCGAUAACUCCAAAGCAGAACAGAGGGGACAAAGGAAAGAGGCAGUGAACCUGGAAAUAGAGCAAUAUAAACCACCCAGUCUGAAACAGACAGAAAAUAGACUAGGGGUGGGAGAAAAGAGUUCUCUGAGAGAUAACAAAAGAUCUAACAUUCAUGUCAUCCAAUUGCCAGGAGGAGAAGAGAAAGAGGACAAAGCCAAAAAAAAUAUUGAAGAAGCAAACUCCUAAACUUGGCAAAAGACAUAAAUGUAAGGAUUCAGGAAGCUGAAUGAACUCCAAACAUUAUAAACCCAAAGAAAUCCACACCAAGACAUAUCACAGUCAGACUUCCAAAAACUAAACAACAACAACAAACCCCAAUUUUGAAAGCAGCCAUGUAACCACCUUCCAAAAAACAUGGAUGUCUCAUCAGAAAGCAUGGAGGCAAGAAAUAAGUGGAACGUUUUUAAGUGCCGUAAGAAAAGAGCUGUCAACCAUAAAUUCUAUACCCAGUGAAACUAUCCCUUAGGAAUGAGGAGGAAUCAAGACCUUCUCAGGUGAAGGGAAAAGUAAGUUUGUUGCCAGCAAACCUACUGUGAAAGGAGGGCCAAAGGAAGUUCUUCUCAUGGAAAGAAAGUGAUAAUGAAGGAAUCUUGAGACAUCAGGAAGAAAGUACAAUGGAAAGAGCAAAACUAUGGGUAAAUACAACGGACCCCUUCUCUGAAGGUUUCUAAGUUACAAUUGGUGGUCGAAGCAAAAAUUAUAGCAUUGUCGAGUGUCUCAAUGUAUGUAGAAAAAAUGUUUAAGAUAAUUAUAUUAUAAAUGGGGGAGGAAAAGGGACACAAAGAGAGGUAAGCUUUCUACAUGUCACUUGAAAUGGUAAAAUGUUGAUGGCAGUAGACUGUGAUAAGUACAUAUGUAUAAUGCAAUAUGGCAGCCACUAGAAAUCUAUACAAAGAUAUACACUAAAAACACUGUACAUAAACCAAAAUAGAUGCUUAAAUAUGUCCAAGUAACACACAGCAAGGCAGAAAAAAGAAAAUAGAGAAACACUACCACCAACAAACACAGGAACAAACAAAGCAAAAAAUAAAA